AAUUUUGGACAAUGGGCGCAAGCCUGAUCCAGCCAUGCCGCGUGAGUGAAGAAGGCCUUCGGGUUGUGAAGCUCUUUCGGACGGAAAGAAAUCGCGCAGGCUAAUACCCUGCGCGGAUGACGGUACCGUCAUAAGAGGACCCGGCUAACUACGUGGCAGCAGCCGCGGUAAUACGUAGGGUGCGAGCGUUAAUCGGAAUUACUGGGCGGAAAGCGCGCGUAGGUGGUUCGUUAAGUUGGAUGUGAAAGCCCCGGGCUCAACCUGGGAACUGCGCUUGUGACUGGUCAGCUAGAGUACGGCAGAGGGGGGUGGAAUUCCACGUGUAGCAGUGAAAUGCGUAGAGAUGUGGAGGAACACCGAUGGCGAAGGCAGCCCCCUGGGCCGAUACUGACGCUCAUGCACGAAAGCGUGGGUAGCAAACAGG
rnacentral:rRNA from 1 species